CAUCCCUAUCACUCAGGACUGCAAAGUCAGGCUGCACUGAAACAACCUAAGGAAGAAUUCAGACCCCUGUUGUCCAAACACACGCAGACAGCACACACAAGUAGAAGAUCCUACAUCUGCUUGUUUUCCGUGGACAAAGCCCUCCCUUUCCCUGAGUAUGUGUGUGAAACAAUCUUUGCAGCUACAGAGCGGCCCGAUGGUAUUGAUCCAGAUGUGGAAAUUGGUAUUGACUGCUGUUGCUGCCCCGUGCACUUCUCCGGCUUUUAAAGACACAGCGUAGAGGACUCAUACGACCACUUUGGUCAGAAAAAUUCAGGAUCCCCUGUUACCAAGGUCCUGCAAUUUAAUCAAGCCUGAGAUGCCUCUUUUUGCUCCUUUGCUUUCUCAGAUCCCCUGCAGUCCUGAUUUUCCAGGUCCUUGCCCAAGCUGAGUCACCAUCAACAGCAACUAAAAGGAAAUCAAACCACUGAUUAGUGCACCGAAUAUUGCAAGGUCUGAGACAUCACUUGAAGAUUCUAGGCUCCCUUCUUUUCAGCCUUAAAACUAAAAGAAAAAAAAAAUAAAACUCUAAAAGAAGACA